AAGUCGUAACAAGGUUUCCGUAGGUGAACCUGCGGAAGGAUCAUUAACACGUAUCCAAACGUUAAAACCCCCCCGUGAACCUUCAUCCUGCUAGCCAGAGGUCUCUGAAUCACUACAACUUUCCGGGCUAUGAUUUAUCAGAGAUUGCGAACUACGCGGGCAAUCGAGCGGUAGUUCUAUAGGCAAUGUUUCCCCAAGCAGUCAGUGUCGGAAAGUGUCAUUGAUUGUGCAAGGAUAGCGCUUCUACGAUUCCUGUAGACCGUACACUCGGGCAGGAGCUUUGCCAAAGGGUCCCCAUGCCCCCUAAUAACCCCACAGUUUAAUGUGAAGCUCAAUGUAAUACAUUGGGUAAAAAAACCGAACAACUGUUAACAAUGGAUAUCUUGGUUCUC
rnacentral:misc_RNA from 1 species